GUCAAAUACAAUUAUUAAACUGAUUAUUCAUAUUCCAUUCUGUUCACUGUGGGAAGAUAUCCUAUUUUGGGGUUGUGUGUAUGGGCCAUACAGACUGUCGGAGUGAAUCUAAUUAGCAAGAGAAAUCCAAAUGGAACAAUGACUGGUAAUUGUUAAUGAUGCAAGUAUAUAUUAUACCAGCUCAAAUGAAAUCUUGGGCUCCAAGCAGCACUGAAAGGCAAAAGAACAUUUACAGUUUUGCAGAAAACACUACAAGUCCUUACCUCACUGCUCUCAGGUGUUGUUCAGCUGAGCUUCCCCCUGUACAACAGGAGUGACUUGUGAAAUGAUUCCCAGUCACCACCAAAAUUAAAUGCUGCAAGGAAUGAAUGACCUGCAGAGCUUUGGUGGGAGAGGUGGUCUGUAUCUGGGCUGAAAGCAACCUCUCGCUUUACUUUCACUGCUGCGAACCUCAGCUGCCUACAGAGCUGACUUAAACAAAACAGGACCCUUUUUGCUUGUACAGUCUCUGGACUGUGUCUCCAGCCUGGGGGUCGGAGCAUCCUGGGCCACCAGCUGUUGAUGCUGCUCUUGGCAUGCCUCUCCAGCUCCACCAAGCAAAUGUGGGGCAGGCCAUCAUCCAAAUGUUCCGGAUUCUGUUUGGAUGGUGAAUUAUGCAAUACACGCAGGCACACACACAAAACCUAUUUUGUUGCUUCUGCCAAAACAGGUGGCAGAAACAACAGGAGGUGGGCAUGGCACAUAGACCUUUCCAACUGUACAGUGAGCUGUGCAUCUGAGUUUGUUGAAAUUAUCCAGUCCCAGGCCUGCAUUUUGGUUAGCAGACCCCAAACCAGAGUGCUGGUGACUGGCACUCUCACUCUGUGGAAACUGCUGUGCUUGAACAGCCUGGGGAGCCAGGAUAACUCGUAACAGUCAUGGAUUUGGUCCAACACUGAGCCACAGCUCUCACAUGAGAUGGCCCUGAUUCCAUGCCUUGCUUCUCACUUUCUAGCCUUGAAAACAUUUCAGAUGGGUCUUCAGUUCAAGACCUACUUAUUCCUCUGUGUUUUCUAGGUAGGAUGUGUUCAUAAGAAGUGAACUGUAUAGAAAUGUUGUGAAAGAUGGUUUAAGCUGCAACAUUUUGGCUUUCAGAGGUUAAACACAAGUUAGAUGUCUUUUUGGCAAUGCUAUAAAUGUAUAUGCGAUGGGAAACCUGGACAGUUGGAACAUUUUUUACUUAUUCAUCCUUCCAAAUGUGUGUGAUUAAGACAACAUGGUACAGAAAAAAGUGCAGAAUCUCCCCUGCUGUAUUUAUUUUACAUUUUCUGUGUCAUGAAAGAUGGGAGAAAUAACUGAUAAGGGUAGGAAGGAAAGUAUAAGGAAUAACAUGAGUGAUAGUUGUAAGACCAGACCAUUGAAUAAGGUUUCUGUGUCCUUGACCAGAAUGUGCAAGCUGGCUGAUAAAUAUUCUUUCAUUCAUAUGGUGUUGGACUGUUUGAGAUGAUGUAGGGCAUUCAGCUAAAUGAAAAUAUUUUAGUUAAAAGAGGAAAAAUGCUUAUAUUAACAGUUGCAGAACUUGAAUAGAAACAAGUAAAAGGGCUGGAAAAUCUAAUUCAGAUACUUUGGUUUUAAAUAGCAUUGAAGAGAGGUCUGACAUGGUUUGUGUCUUAUAAAAACCCUCAAAAUUUCAACAACACUUUUUAAAAAUAAAAGUUUGGCAAAAUUAUUAAAAAUACAGAGAAAAUAAACCUUUCUUCUGUGUAGUCCUCUUCCUAAUGCAGAUUUGAGUAAUCAUAAUGAGUCCACUGAAUGACACUCAGUUUUGGCACACGUGAGAUUGAAAAUAAAAAAUCUGUGAAAGAACAUAGUACAUUUAAUAUAUUUUAAGGAUUUUGCUUGAGGUUUAUUUCCUAAUGACUUUGCAUAGAAGUUUUUUCCAUGUAACUAAAGCCAUACUUAGAAAUGUAUUUUUCACAGCUAAGAAUGUCAUCAUAACUUCAAUUUUGCCUUAAAAAUAAUGAUGAGAUUUGACUUUUUCUAUGCUUUUAUUUCUUCAGGAUUAUAAACAGUGAUUUUAAAAAUUUCUCUUUGCUAUUGAGAUGUGUCAAAGAAUUUAAAAGAAUUUCAAAAUUUUGCCAUUGAAAGCAAAAUACUUACACUGUCAGGCAACCCUUGUUUUAGAUAUUAAGACUGAGUUUUUAUUUUGCAAAUUAUUCGCAUAAGAGAAAGCAUAAAAAAGCCCAACUCAGUUAUAUUCAGACUCAGUUUAACAAGGCACUGUGCACCCUGAACUAGUAUAAAAGCUAAUCCAAUUACGAGCAGGGGGUUGUACUACAGGAGGGCUCCAGAGGUCCCUUCCAACCCAAAUUAUUCUAUGUUGCUAAAAUAAAAUAUUUUAACUUCACAAUUUCUAUUUUUUCUAGACUUAUGUGAAUUUAGACUUCUUCCAGAUUUGGACAAUUAAAAAAAAAAAAAAAAAACUAGGCUCAGAGUUCAUUAAUCUUUUCAUUAUUAUCAGUUACAAUAAAUAAAUCUGCUACCUUCAGCUGGAGGGCUAGAAAAUAAUUAAAAAUUACAACAAGACCUCUUGGUAUCACUUUAAGAAGAGUGAACAAAUUCUGAAGAGGAAUCUUCACAAGCCAUUUUGCUAAUUCACUUACUGUGUAAGAAGGCAUAACAGAACCAGCAAGACGUCUUGGAUCAUAUCAUAGCCAAGCUUUAUUCUGUAGCAGCUUCAAUACACUAACAAAAACCUUACAUCUUUAUUGCUCAAAACCAUUGCACUGCAGCGAACUGAAAUUGCCUGGUGCUUUAAACAUACUUGCGUGGAGAAAUUUCCGUAACAUGAGUUUCUCACUUGAUAUUAUCAAUCAAUGGAACAUUUAAGAAUACAAAAAGAGGAGAAGCGUGGCAGAGCAGGUUGAGGUGGGCUCCCCAGUACAGAGCUGAGGUCUCCCUUUUGCCCACACUUAGGGAAUGCACCAUUGCACGUAUACAGUCCCCAGAGGAGUCAAGCAGGAGGCAAGUCUUAUUUUUUCCAGAAUCCAUGAAUAAGUGGAAAUUGUUUGUUUUGUUAAGCCAUAGAUCAAUCUUCCAAACCUAUUUCUUGUAGCAUGGCUCCUGUGGGUUUUCAGGAGCUAGAACUAUCCCACUUGCGACUGAGAGUGACCUAGAGUGACUGUUUCUGUGUCUCAGGCACAAAGAGUUGUUAUCAGAAGAUGAAAGGACAAAAAUUGCAAUAACAUUUACUGAUUACAUGGCCUCAUCACUUUUCUUUUGAAUGUACGUUCAAUGCUAUCCCAAGAUGUCAUCUAGCGUCAGUGUCUACGAUUCCUUUUGGUCCACAUGACUUCUCCAUUCAUUUGCUCUCCUAUGGGUUAAAGUUCUGUCUUGUCUACAAAUACAGAACCAGAGGAGGAGAAAAAAAACAGUUCUCCAGACAGGAUAGGAGAAGUUGUUUUCCCAUCCUGUAAACAUGGAAACCUGAGAGAAAUUUGUACCAGACCAGGAUUAAGUUUACAGCAUCAAAAUUCCACAAAAGUCCUAACACCUAAUGUUUACUCUUGGACAUUUGUUAUCUCUUGAAAAACACUGUUUAAAAAACCCGACACCAAUACUUUUUAACUUCAUCUCCCUAAUCCCUAAUUAUAAAAUGUGAUUAUCAAAGAACAAAGAAUUUGCCCUACUGUCUUUAUAAUGUACAAUUUACAUACUACCCCAUCAUCCCAGUAAACUAAUUUUUAAAGGGCACUAAAAUAUGAUAAUAACAAGUAUUAUGCUUGCUGAUGUAUUAUGAAAUGUAUCCCAUUAGUCACUUUAUAUCUGAAAGGCAGAAAAAAUUUCAGCCUAGCAACAGAAAAGCUUUUAGGAUUAAAAAAAUAUUUGGCAGGCAGUAGGCAUGUUAAACUAUGCCAGGAGGAACCCAAUUGGAGGUUUCUAGAGACAACAGGAGCAUAAAUAAGUUGCCAUCCAUGUCGCCCACUACAGAGCUGGAAGAAAAUUCAAAGCUUUGUCACCUGAAGGAGCUGAAGAAAAGGACAGCCUGGUGGCAGUCAAGGCCUGGUUCUGGGAUCCUUGGGAGGAGCUGCUGCCCUCCAAAGCCACAGAGAGAAACAAGGCAGCAGAUAAUCCAGUUCACCUGAGCCCCACUGCGCCAUGAUCCUGCUUUUCAUGUGGGCCACAACAAAGAUACCUCACUUCCUUAGCUUAGAAGAACUGAUCCACUAACAAAAAUGCUCAGUUAAUGAUGGUGCUGAUGAGACAGAUUGAGAGAUUCUUGCUAAUGUUCUUUUUUCCCUCCUACAUAGGAAAAUAGUUAGUGCUAGAGAUUUUACUGGAAAGCAGAGCAAGCAGAACAAUUUUGGACACAAAGCAAGCCAGGCAGAGGGCAAGAAUUUUUCCUGCUCUUUAUUUAUAUCAAUAACUACAUAGAAAAGUUUGGGGCUUUUUUGCUGUGAUCUCUAACUUAUUCUGGAGCAGGAAUGUCCUUGAUUGGCCAGGCAAAGGCUUUUCCCAUGAGAAAUGUGUUUUAAUCACACAAAAAAUUUCAUUCAAUCCUUUUUUGCUUGGACAAGGAGCUCUUUCAGCAGAAGAGGAGCAUGCAACCAGCAAAACUCCAUGUAUAGCUUAAGACUGACCUGCUAAAGAGAAAUUCAUUUCCCAGGUGUGUCCAAGCUCAAGACCAAGCAGUUCAGAAGGAAGGCAGGGAACUUCUACAGGCUUAAUUGAAGAUGAGGAUAUUCAAAGCAGGACACAUACCUCAGCCACACAGUGCUAUAUUCCCUAAAGUCAUCAUAAAAGGUGAUAGAAAAAUUGCUUUCUCCACUUUUGAAGGAACACUGCUUUCAUGUCUGAACCCAGCAAGUAAAAUAAGCAAACUGAAUAUCAACUGGAAGGAUAUAAACCUGUUAGAGAGCAUCCAGAGGAAGACCACCAAGACUAUUAGAGGAAUGGAGCAUUCUCCUGUGAGGAAAGGCUAGAAGAAUUGGGAUUUUUUCAUCCUGGAAAAAAGAAGGCUUUGGGAUGACCCAGUUGUGACUUUCCAUCACCUAAAAGAAGCCUACAGGAAAUAUGGAGAGAGACUCUUUACUAGAGAAUGUAGUGACAGGAUAAGGGGGAUUGGCUUUUAACUGAAGAGAAUAAAUUUAGGUUAGGUAUUAGGAAGAAAUUCUUUAUUGUGAGGGUGGUGAGACACUGGAACAGGUUGCCCAGAGAAGCUGUGGAUACCCCAUUCCUCAAAGUAUUCAAGGACAGGUUGGAAGGAGCUGGAAGCAAUUUGGUCUAGUGGAAGGUGCCCCUGCCCACAGCAGGGAGGUUGGAACUAAAUGAUCUUUAAGGUCCCUUCCAACCCAAACCAUUCUGUGGACCUGUGAUUCCAUUGAAUGAGCAUAAUGAAUGAAUGUCACCCUCAGUCCUGGGGAGAGCUGGCCUAUUCAAGGACACUCUUUCUGCUUCACACUGCAGGCCAGCAGAAAGAGGAAGGAGGCCUGAGAAAGGACAAGCUACACCUGCAGGAGUCAAUGUUCCUGCUUUCAGUGGGAGAGGAAGGUGUUUGCCUUAUUUCACUGGCAGUGAGUGACAGUAUUUGUGCCAAAUCUUUGGAAAAGGCUCUAUGCUGCACAAGAGGGCAGCAGGGUUACUGAACUGAGUGUUUCACAACACUGACAAACAAAGAAACACUGUCUGUGCCCCUUGCAACCUGGCUCCCAAAUGCCAAGCACAAGUGGCCUGGUGGCACUCCCAUGAAGGAUACCAGUGAACAAAACAGCACUGGGCAGGGGGAAAUGGUCUGCUGUUUGUUAUCUGAGAAGCCUUCAGAUGCUUCUUUACUUGUUCCCACUUAACAGAGAGCGUGCUGGAACUGAUAAACCUCUGCCUGGAGUGAAACCCUUCCCACCUUCUAUGUUAAACAGAACCCACUUUAGUUUGGAGACAAGUCGUAAGCAGUAAUUUGAGGACACCUAAAAUGGCUGUGCACUUUCCUUCUGUUCAGCCCAGUCUUUGUGUUCUCUAUCAUGAAUUAGGUAGGGCAAACACAGGCAGACAAAACACAGGCUGAAACCUGCCAUCAGAGCUCGGCCCCAUCACACAACCAGUGCCCGAGGCAGGAAUUCGAUCAUGAGAGAGCUAAUAAUAACAACACACAGCAAAGAGCAGAGUACCUUGCUGCUGUUGCUGAAAGCAUGAAAAAUACCAUCUUAAUUUAGAGACUUAUUAUGGCAUAUUAUGGCAGGGCAUGCCGACAAACGUGGAGCAAGCUAGAAGUGCUAUGCUAUGGUACGUACUCUUAUUGCAAUAAUAAUAAUGAUAGUAAUAGUAAUAAAAAUACCUGAUGAAAAUACAGUAAAAAAAAAA
ensembl:lncRNA